rnacentral:rRNA from 1 species
GACGAACGCUGGCGGCGUGCCUAAUACAUGCAAGUAGAACGCUGAAGGAGGAGCUUGCUUCUCUGGAUGAGUUGCGAACGGGUGAGUAACGCGUAGGUAACCUGCCUGGUAGCGGGGGAUAACUAUUGGAAACGAUAGCUAAUACCGCAUAAUAGUAGAUGUUGCAUGACAUUUGCUUAAAAGGUGCAAUUGCAUCACUACCAGAUGGACCUGCGUUGUAUUAGCUAGUUGGUGAGGUAACGGCUCACCAAGGCAACGAUACAUAGCCGACCUGAGAGGGUGAUCGGCCACACUGGGUCUGAGACACGGCCCAGACUCCUACGGGAGGCAGCAGUAGGGAAUCUUCGGCAAUGGACGGAAGUCUGACCGAGCAACGCCGCGUGAGUGAAGAAGGUUUUCGGAUCGUAAAGCUCUGUUGUAAGAGAAGAACGAGUGUGAGAGUGGAAAGUUCACACUGUGACGGUAUCUUACCAGAAAGGGACGGCUAACUACGUG